ACGCCAUCUGGGGGAUGGAUAGGCUUGAGCGCCGAUGAAGGCCGUGGCUAGCUGCGAUAAGCGCGGGGUAGUUGCAGGCAAACGUCGAUCCCGCGAUUGCCGAAUAGGAAUUCCAUGUAUGGACCAAUAAGCCAUACAACUCCGUAAGGAGGGGGAACGCACCGGACGGAAACAUCCAAGUAGGUGCAGGAAAAGAAAUCACCUGAGAUGCCCUGACUGUAACGGCGAGUGAAAGGGGCAUAGACCAAACUGAAUCCUGGCGGGCGACCGUUAGGAGAUGUGGUGUUGUGGUCUGUCACUAAAUUCUGCGUAUGAUAGUCGAAUAUCCUGGAAAGUUUAGCCUUAGAAGGUGAUAGCCCUGUAGGCGAAAUCAUACCCAGAAGGAGACAGUAACCAGAAUAACGGGGGUUGGAAAUCUCUCGUGAACUGGGGCACAACGAGCUCCAAGUCUAAAUACGUCUCAAGACCGAUAGCGCAAUAGUAACGUGAGUGAAAGCUGAAAAGUAACCCGGAAGGGUGGUGAAAAGUGCCUGAAACCAGAUGGUUAUAGACGUUUGUGGUCCGAAAGCGUAGAGUCUGGACGAAGAGAAGGCUGGUGACGGCUGGAUCGAGUUCAGAGGAGCGGGAUCACAAGAUCCGUCUAGAAACACGGGCCAGGGAGUUUGCCCUCGUGGCGAGCUUAAGGGUUUCAAAGACCCGAAGGCGGAGCGAAAGCGACAAGUCCGCAGCUUGCAAGGGACGCCGUCUGAAAGGGCGGGAAGUCACGGGGGUAAGACCCGAAACCGGACGAUCUAUCCGUGGACAGGCUGAAGCCCGGGGAAACUCGGGUGGAGGGCCGAACAAGUGUUGACGUGCAAUUCACGUUUGUUGAUCUGCGGAUAGGGGCAAAAGACCAAUCUAGUCCGGUGAUAGCUGGUUCCCAACGAAGUGGACAUAGGCCAGCCUGAUUUGAGGUGGCGCAUUCGGUAGAGCAAGGAUUCGUGGUCAUGGGGAGUAAAAUCCUCACCCAUGAGUCAAACUACGAACGGAUGCGUACCAUAGACGAUCAGAGUCGGGCGUGCGUGCGUAAGGCACGUGGCCGAAAGGGGAAUAACCCAGACCAUGGUUAAGGACCCCAAGUCUCGAUUAAGUGUUAAAAUCGGAAGGGCGUCCUUGGACUAAGACAGUUAGGCGGUAGGCUCAGAAACAGCCACCCGCUAAGCAACACGUAACAGUGGACUAACCGAGUCCUUGGGCCCCGAGAAUGGACGGGGCUAAAUCGAGCUCCGAGACCAUGGGGCACACUGCAAGGUGUGAUCCGGUAGUUGGGCGAUCGGGUUGGGCGGAAGUAGGGCAGUGAUGUCCUGUGGACCGACCCGAUUUGCAGAUCCUGGCGAUAGUAACAGCAAAGAGAGGUGAGAAUCCUCUCCGCCGAAAGGGCUAGGGUUUCACGGCAACGUUCGUCAGCCGUGAGUUAGUCGAUCCUAAGGCCAGUCUUACCUGAGCUGGUCGAAAGGGAAACAGGUUUAAAUUCCUGUACUGCGUGGAUACGCCAGAAGCGGCAACGCAAAGCUCAUCUUCUGACGCGACUGGAUAGGCUCUGUUAAGCCAUCGCUUAAUUUAACUGUAUAACCCUCCGAAGUACUGUGACAGUGAGAAGGAGGCGAAAGCAGGAAUAGGCUGCCAAUAGUGGCGGCUAGAGCUGCUUCCACUCGCCCAUGAAAAGGAAGAUGAGAAGGAUUCCACGUAAUCGUACCGAGAACUGACACAGGUGUCCCUAGGUGAGAAGCCUAAGGCGUGUUCGGUCAAAGAUGGUGAGGGAAAUCGGCAAAUUCGCCCUGUAACUUUGGGAUAAAGGGUGCCUGUGGGCUUGAAAGGGCUCGCAGGUCGCAGUGACAAGAGGGGGGCAACUGUUCAAUUCAAACAUAGCAAACUGCAAGAGCGAAAGCUUGUGAACAGUUUGUGAAUCCUGCUCAAUGCUGGUAAGUCAAAGCCGGUUACAACCGGUCUAAGCUCCAGUCAAUAGCGGGAGUAACUAUGACUCUUAGCUAAGAAGAAAUCCUAUCGGGAGUCGUUAAAUCUGGCUAUAUGCGGGAACAUCGCUGAAGAGCACUCCUAAGUAAGGAACAAUGUGCUGUUCCAAAGCGACAAUCCGCAGGAAAUCGAACAGUUCCUCUCAAAACUCAUUUCGGAAGAAUAGAGGCCGAAGAACCUCAAAAAAAAACAGAAAGCAAAUAUAAACGAACCAUUAAACAAAGAGAUGAAAAGAGCAAUGUUGCGAAAAGCAAGAAACCAAAGCACAAAAAACACUUAUCUCUGUGGACUGGUGGACGGCGAAGGAUCUUUUAGCAUAAGCAUAAAACCACACAAUACAACAAAGUUUGGUUGGGUAAUAGACCCAACGUUUAGCUUAACACUCGAGGAAACAGCAGAACAUGUGCUAAGAGAAUUGCAGCAAGCGCUACGAUGCGGAAGAAUAAUCACAAAACCAGGACAACCAAACUGUAAACUUUUCAUAGAAGAAAGCAGAAGAAAUCUAAAGGAAAAAGUAAUACCCUUUUUUGAACGAUACCCACUCGAAGUGAAACGAAAAAGCUUCGAACAUUUCAAAAAAGUAAUUGAACGAUUAGAACAAAAGGAACAUAGCAAAGCAGAGAGUUUUCUAAGACUGGCGGUGUAUGCCUUCAGCCUGAAGGAAAACAAAGGAACAAGAAAAUACACAAUAGAAGACAUCUUACAAACAAUGAAACACAAACCAGAAAACGCAGAAGAAAUAGUGAAAAAUGAGCAAGAAAAACUGAUGAAAAGAAAUGAGUAAUGGAGAAGAAUGUCGAGAUCCCCAGAGACUAUACGCCAGACACCAAACAGAAAGUGAGAAACUUCUGUGCGGUGAAGAUAUAGUCCGGCGAUAAGAAAAUAUCGUUGCUUAAGGUAGCCAAAUGCCUUGUCAGAUAAGUACUGACGUGCAUGAACGGAUCAAUGACCUCCCUACUGUCCCCACC
rnacentral:rRNA from 1 species